GACGAACGCUGGCGGCGUGCCUAAUACAUGCAAGUAGAACGCUGAGGAGAGGAGCUUGCUCUUCUUGGAUGAGUUGCGAACGGGUGAGUAACGCGUAGGUAACCUGCCUUGUAGCGGGGGAUAACUAUUGGAAACGAUAGCUAAUACCGCAUAACAAUGGAUGACACAUGUCAUUUAUUUGAAAGGGGCAAUUGCUCCACUACAAGAUGGACCUGCGUUGUAUUAGCUAGUAGGUGAGGUAAUGGCUCACCUAGGCGACGAUACAUAGCCGACCUGAGAGGGUGAUCUGCCACGCUGGGACUGAGACACGGCCCAGACUCCUACGGGAGGCAGCAGUAGGGAAUCUUCGGCAAUGGGGGCAACCCUGACCGAGCAACGCCGCGUGAGUGAAGAAGGUUUUCGGAUCGUAAAGCUCUGUUGUAAGUCAAGAACGGGUGUGAGAGUGGAAAGUUCACACUGUGACGGUAGCUUACCAGAAAGGGACGGCUAACUACGUG
rnacentral:rRNA from 1 species